CGCAUCGUGUUUCUCACUUGCUUCUUGUUUACGUCGGGGAGUGGAAGAGCCGUUCAGUCUCUUCGUCCUGAACCUCCGUCCUCACAACAUGUCCUGGCAGAAUAUCCUGUUUCCACGAGGGUGUCUUGGAGCAAGGAUGCCUACUCUCACAGGAUCUUUGGCAAUGAGAAGUAGAGGACGAAGUUCUUGUGAAGAUUCCAGAAUUUGGAAGUCUGGAUGACUAGACUGAAAUGGAAGUACUUUAUGAAAUAGAAAUGGAAGAACUCCAUACCACAUGAAGUCCAACAAUUGUGGAUCCUUCAUUAUGUUCAGUGGAAUUGGUGUUGUAUUCAUGUAAAAUCGCUGACUGAAAAGCGGUGGCUUCCAAGCCAUCUGUGGUUACUUGUGUGUGCACACACUUUUUGUAGCACUGUCUAGAGGUUUUUGGAGAAGUGAAGGCGCAGACCGAAUUCUUGAGGAUGGAUGCAGAUGUUGUGCAUAUUUGAUGUAUGCAUAUACUCUUACUAUAAUAUAAAAGUAUGUGAUGUGUAUACUCAAUAAAAAGUAGUAUGGGAA